rnacentral:piRNA from 1 species
UGUUCAGAGACCUACUUCCUACUUCCUGG